CAUGCUGUAAACGAUGAGUGCUAGGUGUUGGAGGGUUUCCGCCCUUCAGUGCCGUAGCUAACGCAUUAAGCACUCCGCCUGGGGAGUACGCCCGCAAGGUUGAAACUCAAAGGAAUUGACGGGGGCCCGCACAAGCGGUGGAGCAUGUGGUUUAAUUCGAAGCUACGCGAAGAACCUUACCAGGUCUUGACAUCUUGCGCUAACCUAAGAGAUUAGGCGUUCCCUUCGGGGACGCAAUGACAGGUGG
rnacentral:rRNA from 1 species